rnacentral:lncRNA from 1 species
GCAAGGCUAUAUACAGACACCGGUUAGUCAGUAGAAUAGAAUACAGUAUAUACAUAUGACAUGAGUAAAGCAGUAUGUAAACAUUAUUUAAACAUUAUUAAAGUGGAAUUAAACUUCUUCUCCACACUGUCUGUGUGUGUGGGUGGACCAUUUCAGAUCGUCAGUGAUGUGUAUGCCGAGAAACUUGAAGCUUUCCACCUUCUCCACUAUGUCUAUAUACAGUGUUGUAACGAUGUGCAAAUAGUUCAAGUACAAAAAGGAAAAUAAAUAAACAUAAAUAUAGGUUGUAUUUACAAUGGUGUUUGUUCUUCACUGGUUGCCAUUUAAUUGUGGCAACAGGUCACUCAUCUUGCUGCUGUGAUGGCACACUGUGGAAUUUCACUCAGUAGAUAUGGGAGUUUAUCAAAAUUUGAUUUAUUUUGGAAUUCUUUGUGCGUCUGUGUAAUCUGAGGGAAAUAUGUGUCUCUAAUAUGGUCAUACAUUGGGCAGGAGGUUAGGAAGUGCACCUCAGUUUCCACCACAUUUUGUGGGCAGUGUGCACAUAGCCUGUCUUCUCUUGAGAGCCAGGUCUGCCUACAGCGGCUUUUCUCAAUAGCAAGGCUAUGCUCACUGAGUCUGUACAUAGUCAAAGCUUUCCUUAAUUUUUGGUCAGUCACAGUGGUCAGGUAUUCUGCCACUGUGUACUCUCUGUUUAGGGCCAAAUAGCAUUCUAGUUUGCUCUGUUUUUUCGUUAAUUCUUUCCAAUAAUUAUCUUUUUGUUUUCUCAUGAUUUGGUUGGAUCUGAUUCUAUUGCUGUCCUGGGGCUCUGUGGGGUCUGUUUGUGUUUGUGAACAGAGCCCCAGGACCAGCUUGCUUAGGGGACUCUUCUCCAGGUUCAUCUCUCUGUAGGUGAUGGCUUUGAUGUGGAAGGUUUGGGAGUCACUUCCUUUUAGGUGGUUGUAGAAUUUAACGUCUCUUUUCUGGAUUUUUUCGGCCUAAUUCUGCUCUGCAUUAUUUGGUGUUUUACGUUGUAGAAGGAGGAUAUAUUUUUGCAGAAUUCUGCAUGCAGAGUCUCAAUUUGGUAUUUGUCCCAUGUUGUGAAUUCUUGGUUGGUGAGCGGACCCCAGACCUCACAACCAUAAAGGGCAAUGGGUUCUAUAACUGUACACAUCAGCUACUACAGCAACUGAAAUGACGCCGUGAUGUGUUCACCAAGGAACUUAAAACGUUCCACCUUCUCCACUGCUGUCCCGUUGAUGUGGACAGGGGGCUGCUCCCUCUGCUGUUUCCUGAUGUCCACGAUCAUCUCCUUUAUUUUGUUGACGUUGAGUGAGAGGUUGUUUUCCUGACACCACACUCCGAGGGCCCUCACCUCCUCCCUGUAGGCCGUCUCAUCGUUGUUGGUAAUCAAGCCCACCACUGUAGUGUCGUCUGCAAACUUGAUGAUCGAGUUGGAGGCGUGCGUGACCACGCAGUCAUGGGUGAACAUGGAGUACAGGAGGCGGCUGAGAAUGAACCCUUGUGGGUUUUGAGGAUCAGCGAAGUGGAGAUGUUGUUUCCUACCUUCACCACCUGGGGGGGCGGCCCGUCAGGAAGUCCAGGACCCAGUGGCACAGAGUGGGGUUGAGACCCAGGACCUCAAGCUUAAUGAUGAGUUUGGAGGGUACUAUGGUGUUGAAUGCUGAGCUGUAGUCGAUGAACAGCAUUCUUACAUAGGUAUUCCUCUUGCCCAGAUGGGGCAGUGUGCAGUGUGAUGGCGAUUGUGUCGUCUGUGUACCUGUUGGGGCGAUAUGUAAACUGAAGUGGGUCUAGGUUGACAGGUAAGGUGGAGGUGAUAUGAUCCUUGACUAGUCUCUCAAAGCACUUCAUGAUGACAGAAGUGAGUGCUACGGGGCAAUAGUCAUUCAGUUCAGUUACCUUUGCAUUCUUGGAUACAGGAACAAUGGUGGCCAUCUUGAAGCAAGUGGGGACAGCAGGCUGGGAUAGGGAGAAAUUGAAUAUGUCCGUAAACACACCAGCCAGCUGGUCUGCGCAUGCUCUGAUGACGAGGCUAGGGAUGCUGUCUUGGCCGGCAGCAUUGUGAGGGUUACCAUGUUUAAAUGUUUUACUCACGUCAGCCACAGAGAAGGAGAGGGGGGGCCCGCAGUCCUUGAUAGCGGGCCACAUCGGUGGCACUGUAUUAUCCCCAAAGCGGGCAAAGAAGGUGUUUAGUUUGUCUGGAAGCAAGACGUCAGUGUCCAUGAUGUGGCUGGUUUUCUUUUUGUAAUCCGUGAUUGUCUGUAGACCCUGCCACAUAUGUCUCGUGUCUGAGCCGUUGAAUUGUGACUCCACUUUGUCUCUGUACUGAUGUUUAGCCUGUUUGAUUGCCUUACGGAGGGAAUAACUACACUGUUUGUACUCGGCCAUAUUCCUGGCCAUAUUCCUGGUUCGCGCUUUCAAUCAUAUAUCCAUGAUUUCUGGUUAGGGUAGGUUUCAAUAGUCAGAAUAGGAACAACAUCUCCUAUGCACUUCCUUAUAAACUCACUCACUGAAUCAGCGUGUAAAUCAAUACUAUUCUCUGAGGCUACGCGCAACAUGUCCCAGUCCGCGUGAUCAAAACAAUCUUGAAGCUUGGAUUCCGAUUGGUCAGACCAGCGUUGAAUGGUCCUUGUCAUGGGUACAUCCUGUUUGAGUUUCAGCCUAUAAGAGUGGAGAAGCAAAAUGGAGUCGUGGUCAGAUUUGAUGAAUGGAGGGUGGGGGAGGGCCUUGUAUGCAUCGCGGAAGUUAGAGUAGCAGUGAGCCAGUGUUUGCCAGCCCGUGUACUACAAUCAACAUGCUGAUAGAAUUUAGAUAGCCUUGUUCUCAAACUUGCUUUGCUAAAAUCCCCAGCUACAUUAAAUGCAGCCUCCGGAUGUAUGCUUUCCAGUUUGCAUAUAGUCCAGCGGAGUUCCUUGAGGGCCGUCGUGGUGUCGGCUUGGGGGGGGGAUAUAUACCGCAGUGACAAUAACCGACGAGAAUUCUCUUAGGAGAUAAUACGGACGGCAUUUGAUUGUGAGGAAUUCUAGGUCCGGUGAACAGAAAGACUUGAGGUCCUGUAUGUUGUUACAAUUACACCAUGAGUUGUUAAUCAUUAAACAUAUACCCCCUCUCUCUUCCCUGAGAGAUGUUUAUUCCUGUCGGUGCGACGCACAAAGAAUCCCGGUGGCUGUAUCGACUGCGACAGCAUGUCCCCAGAGAGCUGUGUUUCCGUGAAACAGAGUAUGUUACAAUCCCGGAUGUCUCUCUGGAAAGCAACCCUAGCCCUUAACAAAGAGCUGCAGUUAGUUUCAGAACAGCUGGCAAAGAAUAAGUUAGUCCUAAAUAUUUAAAAAAAAACGAAAAGCAUUGUAUUUGGUACAAAUCAUUCACUACACUCUAAACCUCAACUAAAUAUUGUAAUGAAUAUUGUGGAAAUUGAACAAGUUGAGGUAACUAAACUGCUUGGAGUAACCCUAGAUUGUAAACUGCCAUGGUCAAAACGUAUUGAUACAACAGUAACUAAGCUGGGGAGAAGUCUGUCCAUAAUAAAGAGCUACUCUGCCUUAACAGCAUUAUCAACCAGGCCUGUCCUACAGGCCCUAGUUUUGUCGCACCUGGACUACUGCUCAGUUGUGUGGUCAGGUGCCAUAAAGAGGGACAAUUUAAACUGGCCCAGAACAGGGCAGCACACAUAGAGUUAACAUUAAUAAUACGCAUGUCAAUCUCUCCUGGCUCAAAGUGGAGGAGAGAUUGAC